rnacentral:pre_miRNA from 9 species
UUUCUAUAGCGUAAUAGUUAACACAAAUUUGAAUGGAGUUGGAACGUUUGCCGCUAGGGGCGCUGUUCCAACUGCAUACAAAUUUGAGUUAACUUUUACGCUAUCGA